GCCGUUGUAGCUCAGUGGUAGAGCAACGCCAUGGUAAGGCGUAGGUCACCAGUUCAAUCCUGGUCAACGGCU
rnacentral:tRNA from 1 species